rnacentral:rRNA from 1 species
CCUACGGGGGGCUGCAGUGGGGAAUAUUGCGCAAUGGGCGAAAGCCUGACGCAGCGACGCCGCGUGGGUGAUGAAGGCCUUCGGGUUGUAAAGCCCUGUCGGGUGGAACGAACGAUCUGGCGGCGAAUAACCGCCGGGUGUGACGGUACCACCGAAGGAAGCCCCGGCUAACUACGUGCCAGCAGCCGCGGUAAGACGUAGGGGGCGAGCGUUGGUCGGAUGUACUGGGCGUAAAGCGCGCGUAGGCGGCGAAAUCCCACGGCUUAAGCGAGGACCCGCAUCCGAUACUGUCUGACUCGAGUCUAGGAGAGGAAAGCGGAAUUCCCAGUGUAGCGGUGAAAUGGGUAGAUAUUGGGAGGAACGCCGGUGGCGAAGGCGGCUUUCCGGACUAGUACUGACGCUGAGGCGCGAAAGCUAGGGGAGCGAACGGGAUUAGAUACCCCGGUAGUC